CCAGACUCCUACGGGAGGCAGCAGUGAGGAAUAUUGGUCAAUGGGCUUACGCCUGAACCAGCCAAGUCGCGUGAGGGAAGACUGCCCUAUGGGUUGUAAACCUCUUUUGUCAGGGAGCAACGCCGGCUACGUGUAGCCGGACUGAGAGUACCUGAAGAAAAAGCAUCGGCUAACUCCGUGCCAGCAGCCGCGGUAAUACGGAGGAUGCGAGCGUUAUCCGGAUUUAUUGGGUUUAAAGGGUGCGUAGGCGGAUUUUUAAGUCAGCGGUAAAAUGUCCGGGCUCAACCCGGGCCGGCCGUUGAAACUGGGGAUCUUGAGUGGGCGAGAAGUAUGCGGAAUGCGUGGUGUAGCGGUGAAAUGCAUAGAUAUCACGCAGAACUCCGAUUGCGAAGGCAGCAUACCGGCGCCCGACUGACGCUGAGGCACGAAAGCGUGGGGAUCGAACAGGAUUAGAUACCCUAGUA
rnacentral:rRNA from 1 species